rnacentral:rRNA from 1 species
UACAGAGGUCUCAAGCGUUGCUCGGAUUCAUUGGGCGUAAAGGGUGUGUAGGUGGCGCGCUAAGUCGGGUGUGAAAUUUCGGAGCUUAACUCCGAAACUGCAUUCGAUACUGGCGUGCUUGAGGACUGGAGAGGAGACUGGAAUUCAUGGUGUAGCAGUGAAAUGCGUAGAGAUCAUGAGGAAGACCAGUGGCGAAGGCGGGUCUCUGGACAGUUCCUGACACUGAGGUGCGAAAGCGUGGGGAGCAAACAGG